rnacentral:rRNA from 1 species
CAGUCGCCGCGGUAAUACGGAGGGUGCAAGCGUUAAUCGGAAUUACUGGGCGUAAAGCGCACGCAGGCGGUUUGUUAAGUCAGAUGUGAAAUCCCCGAGCUUAACUUGGGAACUGCAUUUGAAACUGGCAAGCUAGAGUCUUGUAGAGGGGGGUAGAAUUCCAGGUGUAGCGGUGAAAUGCGUAGAGAUCUGGAGGAAUACCGGUGGCGAAGGCGGCCCCCUGGACGAAGACUGACGCUCAGGUGCGAAAGCGUGGGGAGCAAACAGGAUUAGAUACCCGAGUAGUCCCUGUCUCUUAUAC